CACGACCAGCCUGACCAACAUGCAGAAACCCCAUGUCUACUAAAAGUACAAAAUUGGCCAGGGUGCCAGGCUGUUCUACUUUUCUGGAAUGGUGCAUGGAGAAUAUCAAAACCAAGAAAUCCACAAUCUGGGCCAUUUUAUUACAGUUAUGAAGUUUAGGCCUUUCACAUGGCAGGCUUCUCACCCUUAUAUCCUGGCAGACAGGAUGGAAGAUUUGACAAACCCAGAGGAUAUCCAAACAAACAUCACAUGUGACCAGCAGGUGUCACUUUAUGUAAUUAAGAGGAGCACACUUGAAAAAUAAAAGCCAAAUUCACAUGCCAGGUAUUCUCUUGUUGUAGAAUAUACUAGAAUUAGACAUAGGAUUCUUGGGAUGGCUUCAUUUCUCAGGAAAACUGAAAAAUGACCCAAGGGAAGAUGGCCUUGCUGGAGGUUUUAAAAGUAAGCCAGCUGUGUGUAGGCCUGCAAAGGUGUUACCGAAUCCCCUCUUCUCUGACCUCUUGUCUUGUAGCUAGAGGGCCACUGUUCCAGUAUGGCACGAUGCCCUUCUUUAGGGUCAUGGGUUAAGCCCUUGGACUGUGGAUCGUUGUUAACCCCCCAGUCAACAGUAGAUACUUACUGACUUCCUGUCAGCUGAAGCUGGCUUUUUGGGUCCUGUCUUCCAGGGGUAGGAGAUUUUGCCAUGAGUGAUGUCACUUUCCUUCCAGACCCUUGUGCUAUCCCUGAACAACUAAAGAAGCGCUGUUUAAAUAAGAAGGAGCAGCUGGUUUAUGUGCCUCUUUCUGGAGUUGGGCGUGUGCUGUAUGACAAAGACGCUGUCUAUGUUGACCUUGGUGGCAGCCACGGUUUUCAGGCAUCGUUAAGCUAGCCUCCAAAGCUGGAAGCUGAAUUGACCGUUGAAAAAUAAUGACAUGUAUACAAGGUGUGUUUGGAGGAUUGCGGAUGCAGGGGCACUGUACUGCUAAAGGAGUGUUGGAAGCUCACUGAAGAAGAUGAUAAAAGCAGACUGAUGUGUAUUACCUGCUGACAUACAAACUGGAGGCACAGUGUCAGAGAUGGCUUUGGAUUCCCAGUUCUGCGUGCUCCUGUCUGGCUCCUGAACCCAGCUGGAGAGGUGAGUCAGUCCCAACUGGUGAAGUACCGAGAAGAAGCUACACAAAAGGCAGCAAGGUGUUAAUAAGUGUACCUCUGACAUUUUAACCACCUCUGAGUGUUCCAUGGAACGGACAAGUAGUAGUCUCUGUCAGAGCUACGUUUCAAAGGAAAAAAAGAACCUUGAAAGAACCUGUUUAUUAAUUUAUGCUGUUAUUUUGUGUUUACUCAGCUCAUUUAUAUUGACUUGUAAAUUAGUAAUUUAUGAACUAUUAUCUAUCAAUUCCUGGCCUACAUGUCGGCAAACAAAUUUUCUUCUUAAUAAAGAAUCCGGUGGCUGGGCACAAUGGUUCACAUUUGUAAUCUCAGCACGUUAGGAGGGCAAGGCAUGAGGAUUCCUUGAGGCCACGAGUUCAAGACCAGCCUGGGCAACAUAGCAAGAUUUCAUCUCUACAAAAACAUGAAAACAUUGGCUGGGCAUUUUGGCUCAUUCCUGUAGUUCAGGCUACGCAGGAGCCUGAGGUAGGAGGAUCACUUGAACCCAGGAGUUUGAGGCUGCAGUGAGCUGUGAUCCUAACACUGCUCUCCAGCCUGAGUGACAGACCAAGACACCAUCUCUUCAAAGAAGGAAUCUAGGGGCGUCAGUGUGUGCACGCAGCAUGGCUUGUGAAUGCGGAAGUGCAUGUGUGCAAAGUUGUGCUCAAGAAUGUGUUGAUGAUUAUACCUUCUCAGAAUGAAGGUAAUUUUUUUUUUUUUUUU